rnacentral:ncRNA from 1 species
GUCGGCCGAUCACACUUAAGCUCUGAUACCUGUGUCCUGACGGAUAUGGUGUCAUGGCCGCAACCCUCGAGUUGCCAGGGUGCAGAAAGAAAUGACUGCAUCUCCCGUUUUGGAAAGGUGUCAACGGUGUCACAAU